rnacentral:rRNA from 1 species
GAUGAACGCUGGCGGCGUGCCUAAUACAUGCAAGUCGAGCGAACAGACGAGGAGCUUGCUCCUCUGACGUUAGCGGCGGACGGGUGAGUAACACGUGGAUAACCUACCUAUAAGACUGGGAUAACUUCGGGAAACCGGAGCUAAUACCGGAUAAUAUAUUGAACCGCAUGGUUCAAUAGUGAAAGACGGUUUUGCUGUCACUUAUAGAUGGAUCCGCGCCGCAUUAGCUAGUUGGUAAGGUAACGGCUUACCAAGGCAACGAUGCGUAGCCGACCUGAGAGGGUGAUCGGCCACACUGGAACUGAGACACGGUCCAGACUCCUACGGGAGGCAGCAGUAGGGAAUCUUCAGAAAUGGGCGAAAGCUUGACGGAGCAAAGCCGCGUGAGUGAUGAAGGUCUUCGGAUCGUAAAACUCUGUUAUUAGGGAAGAAAAAAUGUGUAAGUAACUAUGCACGUCUUGACGGUACCAAAUCAGAAAGACACGGCUAACUACGUG